AUGUGUGUUUUAUGUUUUUUUUUGCGGAAAACGCAUCUUGCGGUUUUGGCAGGAAAGUGUGUUUUUCAGUUUUUGCGAAAAAAUGCAUUUUUGGUUAUAGCGGAAAAUGGUAUAUGCAAUAAAAUAUAAUUUACGGUUUGAAAAUAAUAUUUUAAUUUUAAAAGGUUAUUUUUGUCAUUUAUCAUUUUGGACUGAACUAGAUGCAUCUGCAUCCAGAUGCACCAUCAAGACUCACCUUCAUUUGGGUGAGAAUUUGAGAUGAGUUUUUAAAAAUUCAGAUGGGUGAUCCAUCUGGAUGUAAUAUUAUAAUGCACAAAACGAACAUCAAUUUGUAUAUUCAUCCAGAUGGAUCACCUGGGUGAGCAAACGAACAGGGCCUAAGGAGGAGACCUAUGAUAUAUAUAUCUUCUUCCUCCUGGUGAGAUCCAGAGUCGUGCCAAUCAUAUUAAAGGAUGCGGAAUAAAGAUGGAAAGUACAGCCUCAUGUUUGAGGUUUGGCCCUUUCAGAGUUUUCUUUCCAUGUGGUGAAUACUUAUGGUUAUGGUUACACAGAGGUAUGUCAACGCAAAGAGACAAGAAUCUGUCCAGGCUCAGCUCCAACUUCGUAUUUUAUUUCUGGUCUGGACAAUGGCUGUUUGACAAAUUCUAUAAUGCCUCGUUCAUCCUCAUCCUUCCAAUUAGCCAAGGAUUUGCCACUAGAUAUCGACUCUCUCUCACAUGGACAGCGUCAAGGUGAUGCAUCAAUUGGAUAAUCUGUGCAGUCUGAUGAGAGAAAGCUCAUCAGCAGAAAGGUCACGCCUAACGAGAAUGGGAAGCAGUGAUAGCAGUAGCAGAGACUGAUCAAUCAAAAGCUUCUUAUUGUACAAUGCGAAAUCUAGUAGACUGCCUCUCGUGUUAACGUUGGCUCUUUGCAGCGUAGGGGUUGUAGUGUUUAGGAGCUGCUACGUUAACAAGCGGCAAUAACAUCUAUAAGCACUUUGUUUCUAGUCUCUUUUUUUGGGUAUUUUUUUUCUCUCUGGAGGCGUUUUGUGAGCUUCCAUGGUUUAGUACUUAGACUAUGACACCAAUUCUAGAUUAAUUUCAUUCAAUAAAGCUCAGUGUCUUAGCUUAGCAUUCAUUUUGCUCUUCUUUUAGUUCUUACAUAAUCAAAGACGAGACCUGGAUGUGAGAACAAUGCUUCUUUAGAGGCAAGUCUUGUGAAAGACUUUUUGACGAGGUAAUAAUGGUCUUUGAUGGCUUUUUAAUU